GACGAACGCUGGCGGCGUGCUUAACACAUGCAAGUCGAACGGAAAGGCCCUGCUUUUGUGGGGUGCUCGAGUGGCGAACGGGUGAGUAUCACGUGAGUAACCUGCCCUUGACUUUGGGAUAACUUCAGGAAACUGGGGCUAAUACCGGAUAGGAGCUCCUGCUGCAUGGUGGGGGUUGGAAAGUUUCGGCGGUUGGGGAUGGACUCGCGGCUUAUCAGCUUGUUGGUGGGGUAGUGGCUUACCAAGGCUUUGACGGGUAGCCGGCCUGAGAGGGUGACCGGCCACAUUGGGACUGAGAUACGGCCCAGACUACUACGGGAGGCAGCAGUGGGGAAUAUUGCACAAUGGGCGGAAGCCUGAUGCAGCAACGCCGCGUGCGGGAUGACGGCCUUCGGGUUGUAAACCGCUUUCGCCUGUGACGAAGCGUGAGUGACGGUAAUGGGUAAAGAAGCACCGGCUAACUACGUG
rnacentral:rRNA from 1 species